rnacentral:rRNA from 1 species
UGGGGAAUAUUGCACAAUGGGGGAAACCCUGAUGCAGCGACGCCGCGUGAGCGAAGAAGGCUUUCGAGUCGUAAAGCUCUGUCCUAUGAGAAGAUAAUGACGGUAUCAUAGGAGGAAGCUCUGGCUAAAUACGUGCCAGCAGCCGCGGUAAUACGUAUGGGGCGAGCGUUGUCCGGAAUUAUUGGGCGUAAAGGGUACGUAGGCGGUUUUUUAAGUCAGGUGUCAAAGCGUGGAGCUUAACUCCAUUAAGCACUUGAAACUGAAAGACUUGAGGGAAGGUGAGGGAAGUGGAAUUCCUAGUGUAGCGGUGGAAUGCGUAGAUAUUAGGAGGAAUACCGGUGGCGAAGGCGACGUUCUGGACUUUUACUGACGCUCAGGUACGAAAGCGUGGGGAGCAAACAGG